AUCAGACUUGGGAAAAUUAGACCGCUCAAUAUAUGAUUUAUCCAGACUGGAAACAUUCGUGGUGGGUAAUGGCGCAACAGUGUCGCGGGUUCGACUAUUAAAUUCCAACAGCCAUUUUAUUUCCUGGAUAAAAGAGCGUCCCAAAGGACGGAUAGUACUGUAUGUACAUACGUUUGCAUGUUUAGCCUAAGCUGGCCUUGCUCUCUGCUGCUUCACCCAAGAGACUGUUCAUCUGUAAUUGAUCCCAUUAUUAGGAUGUAGUCCGGUCGUGUUUGAUACCCUGUCUGCGGUUGGGGUGGGGUUGACAUGAGGUGACAAUUGGCAUGACAAGAAAUUGGGACCGGAGAGAGAGUGACAAGCAUACUCUCUCCCUCACCGACAUCCCAUUCCACGUAGACUACUGAAGAUUAUGGCAACACUAUUUGGUUGUUUUGUCACAUUGGUCCAUUUUAUUUACUUUUUUUUUUACUUUGCUCGCUUUAUUGGACUCGGGGAACCAGAUUUUCCCCUGACAAGUAAAAUUUGUUUGACAUGUUGUCAAAUUAAGUGAAACCAACAUACAUAUUGGUAUUUACUACCUUUACUA